UACGAGGGGGGCAAAUGUUGUUCGGAAUCACUGGGCGUAAAGGGAGCGUAGGCGGGUUUCUAAGUCAGGUGUUUAAUCCCGGGGCCCAACCCCGGACAGGCACUUGAAACUGGGAAUCUUGAAUAGUGGAGAGGUCAGUGGAAUUGGGGGUGUAGCGGUGGAAUGCGUAGAGAUCCCCAAGAACACCAGUGGCGAAGGCGACUUCCUGGCCUGUUCUUGACGCUGAGGCGCGAAAGCUGGGGGAGCAAACGGG
rnacentral:rRNA from 1 species